AUUGAACGCUGGCAGCAGGCCUAACACAUGCAAGUCGAACGAGUGGCGGACGGGUGAGUAAUGUCUGGGAAACUGCCCGAUGGAGGGGGAUAACUACUGGAAACGGUAGCUAAUACCGCAUACCAUCGGAUGUGCCCAGAUGGGAGUAGCUCGUAGGUGGGGUAAAGGCACACCUAGGCGACGAUCCCUAGCUGGGCUGAGAGGAUGACCAGCCACACUGUAACUGAGACAAGGUCCAGACGACUACGGGAGGCAGCAGUGGGGAAUAGUGCACAAUGGGCGCAAGCCUGAUGCAGCCAUGCCGCGUGUAUGAAGAAGGCCGUGGGGUUGUAAAGUACUUGCAGCGGGGAGGCGUUACCCGCAGAAGAAGCACCGGCUAACUCCGUGCCAGCAGCCGCGGUAAUUC
rnacentral:rRNA from 1 species